rnacentral:rRNA from 1 species
GACGGAGGAUGCAAGCGUUAUCCGGAAUUAUUGGGCGUAAAGCGUCCGUAGGCGGUUUCAAAAGUCUGUUGUUAAAGCCCACAGCUCAACUGUGGAUCGGCAAUGGAAACUGUGAGACUAGAGAGUGGUAGGGGUAGAGGGAAUUCCUAGUGUAGCGGUGAAAUGUGUUGAUAUUGGCAGGAACACCGGAGGCGAAAGCGGCACACUGGGGAAUUACUGACGCUGAGGCACGAAAGCCAAGGGAGCGAACGGG